rnacentral:lncRNA from 1 species
CAGGAACAGGACAAUAGAAAACACCCAGCUUUAUUGAGAACCUCCUGCCAUAUGGUUUGACUCUGUGUCUCCUUCCAGAUCUCACCUUGAAUUGUAUUAAUCUCCACGUGUCAUGGGAGGGACCCAGUAGGAGGCAAUUGAAUCAUAGGGGUGAGUUUUUCUGUGCUGUUCUUUUGAUAGUGAAUAAGUCUCACAAGACCUCAUGGUUUCAUAAAUGGAAGUUUUCCUGCACACGCCCUCUUGCCUGCCGCCAUGUAAGACAUCCCUUUGCUCUUCCUUUGUCUUUUGCCAUCAUUGUGAGUUCUCCUCAGACAUGUGGCACUGUGAGUCCAUUAAACCUCUUUCCUUUAUAAAUUAUCCACCCUCAGGUAUGUCUUUAUUAGCAGCAUGAGAAUGGACUAAUACAUCCUGGAACAUCGUGGAAUGUUCCGUCACCAAUCUUAGAGCGAGAGUAGGAGAAACUACAGAAAGUCCACAGAGGAGUGUUGACUUUGAUCACAGGCAUGGAAAAGAGAGUCCCUAAAAGAAGAUAAGAAGUACAAGAGAAUGUUAAGGCAUGGUCUAACUGUAACCAUUCAAGACUGGACUGGGACGGGGCUGGGGGAUUUGCCGUGGCCACUGGGCAGUUGUUACUGACAAUGGAUUCAAAUACACAAAAGCUGCUGAAACUAAAGUUAAAAAACAAAGUCAUGCCAGUGUUGAUGAAACCCCACAAAGAUCCUCAAAACUCAACCCCACCACCACCUUACAAUGUGCCAACUGACGCUCUGAGAGUCAGGAGCUGUUCAAGGAGAGGCGCCUUCUACCAGAAAUAAGCCAGACCCAGCGGCUAUCUCUACACUCCUAUCCUUCCUGCCAAGGUUGUGUGGCCAUCUGCUUAGAAGAUGCCAAGAUUAUUUCCAAGGGACAGAUGGGAGACAAGAGCAUGAUCUGUCUUGAAGCUUUGGACGUUGCUGUGCCUGCUGGUUUUGUGAUCCCUUGCAGAUUCUUGCUGCUACAACAUUUCCUUUGGCAGCUUGGAAAAGAAGCAGAAUGGAGAAGAAAGCCAAGGCUAGGUGGAGCAGCAGAGCAUGCCGAGAUUGUCAGUGUGGAUAAUGGAUUCUGAGCCUCUCUUUAUAGACAUGCUUCAUUCACAUUAUGGCCAGCAACCAGCUUGUAGAAACCCCUGUCAACUUGUCUAAGGACAGAUGACUGUGAUAUAUAGGAAGGUGCCACCUGUGCAGCAGUGGGGAGCUGAAGAAGACACUGAAAUAGUUAUUGUAGCUAUUUCCCAAGGCUGAGAGCUGGAGGAAAUGCCAACACUGAGAGAUGGACAGUCCGUGGGGAAGUCUACACAGACUGGAGAAACACUUGCGUCUUCUGCCCUGAAACCAGCCACUCUAUUCAAUGCCUCCAGCUAAUCACCUUCACAUGAUUUAAAAGCAAAAAGACUUGUUUCUUUUAUUUAUCUAUUUACCCUAAUGAAUGAUCACUUUCUAACUCUCGUGUAUUCUCAAAUUAAUGUAUUUGCUUCUCCUGACAGUGGUUUUCCGAGUUUAAUUAUUUUCAUAGACAAAAAUCUCUCCAAUACAAAUAGAAACUUAACUGUAUAGUUCUGUCAAGUCACUCCACAGUGGUGACGUCUCGUGGAUUGUUGGAGAACCCACAUGCAGUUUUUGGCAUUUGACGUUUAAACAGAGACAAAAGAACAACAAAUCCAUGGUGGACUAACUAUAGGAGCUGCUUUCAUUUUUUCUUUUCUUUUAUUUAUUUACUUUUUAUUGACCCAGAAGAUGAAGAGCCAUGUCCCACAAACUCUACUUAUCCGUUCUUCUUUUUUUUCUAAAUGAGUGUUCCUUUGUCUUAAUUUCUAAUAAAAACUUAGUGUUUCUGGUAGAGUUUCUUGGAAUUUUAGGGUGGAAAGCCGGUGAGGACAGUUAAAGGAUUACUAACAAACACUGUGAAAAUUGAUAGAAUUUUUUCACAGCAAUCAAUACGAAAUGUCGUAAUAGAUACAUAGGUAUACAGCAUAAACAGAUAAUUCAAAAGUAAGGAAAUGCAGCUCGUCAGCGAAUAUGUAGGAAACUGUUAAAAGGUGCUGUAUGAGGGUUCUCCAGAGAAACAGACCAACAGGAUGUGCUUACCCA